GCCAGCGUGACAUAGUGGUUUGAGUGUUGGACUGUGACUCUGGGGACUAGGGUUUGAUUCCCAGCUCUGCCA